AGUAAUGGGUCUAAGAUAUGAUUAAAUAACACUGAAGUUAGGAAAAUAAUUGGGCCUAGGUCGACUCCACAAGAAGAGGAUGAAGGGCUUUGGUUAUUUUGAAAACUGCCCAACUUUUAGCUAGUAAGUGGUGGAGUGCAGACUAGAAACUACUUCCUGGGAAUCCUGAGUUACCACAGUUACGACAACAGUUUGCAGCCUGGCUACAUUAUACUGGCCUAGACCAC
rnacentral:lncRNA from 1 species